GAUGAAGAACGCAGCGAAAUGCGAUAAGUAAUGUGAAUUGCAGAAUUCAGUGAAUCAUCGAAUCUUUGAACGCACAUUGCGCCCACCAGUAUUCUGGCGGGCAUGCCUGUUCGAGCGUCAUUUCAACCAUCAAGCCCCCGGCUUGUGUUGGGGACCCUGCGGCUGCCCGCAGGCCCUGAAAACCAGUGGCGGGCUCGCUGUCACUCCGAGCGUAGUAGCAUAUAUCUCGCUCAGGGCGUGCUGCGGGUUCCGGCCGUUAAAAGCCUUUUUUUUUUACCCAAGGUUGACCUCGGAUCAGGUAGGAAGACCCGCUGAACUUAAGCAUAUCAAUAAGCGGAGGA
rnacentral:misc_RNA from 1 species